rnacentral:rRNA from 1 species
UACAGAGGUCUCAAGCGUUUGUUCGGAUUCAUUGGGCGUAAAGGGUGCGUAGGCGGCGCGGUAAGUCGGGUGUGAAAUCUUGGAGCUUAACUCCGAAACUGCAUUCGAUACUGCCGUGCUUGAGGACUGGAGAGGAGACUGGAAUUUACGGUGUAGCGGUGAAAUGCGUAGAUAUCGUAAGGAAGACCAGUGGCGAAGGCGGCCCUCUGGACGGUGACUGA